GACGAACGCUGGCGGCGUGCUUAACACAUGCAAGUCGAACGAAGAGCGAUGGAAGCUUGCUUCUAUCAAUCUUAGUGGCGAACGGGCGAGUAACGCGUAAUCAACCUGCCCUUCAGAGGGGGACAACAGUUGGAAACGACUGCUAAUACCGCAUACGAUCUAACCUCGGCAUCGAGGAUAGAUGAAAGGUGGCCUCUACAUGUAAGCUAUCACUGAAGGAGGGGAUUGCGUCUGAUUGGCUAGUUGGAGGGGUAACGGCCCACCAAGGCGAUGAUCAGUAGGCGGUCUGAGAGGAUGAACGGCCACAUUGGGACUGAGACACGGCCCAGACUCCUACGGGAGGCAGCAGUGGGGAAUCUUCCGAAAUGGACGAAAGUCUGACGGAGCAACGCCGCGUGAGUGAUGACGGCCUUCGGGUUGUAAAGCUCUGUUAAUCGGGACGAAAGGCCUUCUUGCGAAUAGUUAGAAGGAUUGACGGUACCGGAAGAGAAAGCCACGGCUAACUACGUG
rnacentral:rRNA from 1 species